rnacentral:rRNA from 1 species
AUUGAACGCUGGCGGCAUGCCUUACACAUGCAAGUCGAACGGUAACAGGUCUUCGGAUGCUGACGAGUGGCGAACGGGUGAGUAAUACAUCGGAACGUGCCCGAUCGUGGGGGAUAACGGAGCGAAAGCUUUGCUAAUACCGCAUACGAUCUACGGAUGAAAGCAGGGGACCGCAAGGCCUUGCGCGGACGGAGCGGCCGAUGGCAGAUUAGGUAGUUGGUGGGAUAAAAGCUUACCAAGCCGACGAUCUGUAGCUGGUCUGAGAGGACGACCAGCCACACUGGGACUGAGACACGGCCCAGACUCCUACGGGAGGCAGCAGUGGGGAAUUUUGGACAAUGGGCGAAAGCCUGAUCCAACCAUGCCGCGUGCAGGAUGAAGGCCUUCGGGUUGUAAACUGCUUUUGUACGGAACGAAAAGACUCUUUCUAAUAAAGAGGGUCCAUGACGGUACCGUAAGAAUAAGCACCGGCUAACUACGUG